rnacentral:lncRNA from 10 species
CAUUUAGACACUGGCGCCAGGUUUGCGCCUGACCGGCGCCACGCAGGGGUGGGCGGAGCAAAGACACACAGGUGGGCUACAGGUGUCACACGGCACCAGCCAGGGCCCGGGGUGGCUGGGGUGAGGAUGGGUGUUUGGCCAGUGACCAGGAGUCAGGUCAAGUCCAGGUGGUCAGUGCCAGGGGCUCCAGGAGGGGAGGGCAGUGCCAUAACCCUCCUGGUGUCCAGCGUCACCAGGCGGUCGUCACAGAAAGCAACCUCGGCCCGGGGCCCGGGUCUGCAGCAGGUGGGCAGGGUCAGCUUUUCUUCCAUGGCGGGUGGCAUUGUCUGGGCCGGAUACUGGCUCUCGACCCCUGGGCAUGCAAAGGCUAGGGGUGGUGCUGUCAGUCACACCGUUGCCACCAAGGUCCCCUGGGUCGGCUGAGGCUUGGGAUCCAGGCAGCGGUGGAAGGUCGGGCUGCUCAAGGCCGGUAUCUAAGCUUCUGCCCUGGGACCCAGUGGUGAUGGCCGCCAUCUGCCCCAUUCCCACAGGGACCUAGUCAGAGGUCGCACACACAAAAGGGGUACCUGGCCCUGGAGAACCACCAGCUGCCCGGGGUCUGAGAACACUCACCCUGGCCGCUGGGCCAGGCCUGCCAGGCUCCCGGCUGGUCCAACACCCUAAACGGUACAGAGCGCUGCAGGCCCUCACCUCAUGCUUCUGCAGCGCUUGAGGGUGAAGGUGUCUCCAAGGGGACGCUGGCCAGAUGCAUGGAGAGGCCGGCCAAUCUUAGGGCCACAGACCCCCCCUGGACAGCAGAGGGUGUUGGCUCCUGCAGUGGGCCCGAGAUACUAAGGCACGAAGCUAACCUAAGCCCAGUGGGGUGGGGCGGGGCAGGACAGGCUUGGAGAGCUGCGCCCCAGGCCUGCAAAGCACAGUGACCGAGCAAUGGCGACGGUCUGUCUGGGACAAUUCGGCACAGGAUGGAGGUGCGGGGUGAGCCGGAGUGCCCAUGGCUCUUGCUGGAAGGGGCUCCAUGCCCUGGCCGCCUCUAUAAAGGCCUGCGGAGAGCGGGGAGAGCCCUGGAUGCGGCUGGCACAGCAGCGCAAGCCCAGGGGCCAAUCCGGGGCCAGAGUCUGGGAGUCUGACGCCCGGCUGGAAAGGGCGUGUGAUGAUGCCAAAGUGCCGGAGCCGUCGCCGGCAGGUCCUCCUCCGCGGGGAUCUUAAGGAGGCAGCAGGAAUGAGGAGAGGAGAGCGGGCGGAGGACCUGGGAGCUCAGGCGCCCUCAGGACGGACAGCGCCCACCCGGAGGAAAGCCUGACAGAUGAGACUUCGCAAGAUCACCCAGCAACCAGGACACCCCUCCAGGGCCAGGACUACAGCCAG